CCAAACUAUAUGAAUUUCAUCAUUACCAAGAUGUCGUGUCUAAAAGAAUUUUAUUUGAAGUAUCUUAUAUAAUAUACUUUUUUCAUAAAUUUUCAUAAGACUGACCUUUUGUAAUAAACUCUCGGGACUAUCCGAAGGCAUUCUUGUUGCUACAUGAAAAAGAAUUUCUGUAAAAGAUGUUGCAAAAUAUGGUGCUGUAACCCCGGAUGCUUUUCCAGAUAAACCCAAAUGUGAAAACAAAAGACGGCAGUGAUGAAAUGGCGCUGGAGGAGGACGACACGGUGGUGGACUUAUUGCUGAUGCACACAUACUAAAAAAA